rnacentral:RNase_P_RNA from 1 species
UCGAACAGUCGCGUAUAAAAUUCGUAAGGAUUUAUAUGAGGAAAGUCCGGGCUCCAUAGAGCAAGGAUGCUGGAUAACGUCCAGUGAGGGAAACCUUAAGGAAAGUGCAACAGAAAAUAACAGCCGUAACAGAGGUCAGAAAUCGGAUGUCAGAAAUCAGACAUCUGACAUCCGAUUGCUGACCUCUGUUAUGGUAACGGUGAAAAGGUGAGGUAAGAGCUUACCGCCAAUGUGGAGACACAUUUGGGUCAAUGUAAACCCCAUCCGGAGCAACACCUAAAGAGAAGGUUAAGACUGCUCGUCAUCUUCUAAAUUGGUGGCUUGAGGUAUAUAGUAAUAUAUAUCCUAGAUAAAUGGCUGUUCAAGACAGAACCCGGCUUAUAGAUAUGCUCC